GACGAACGCUGGCGGCGUGCUUAACACAUGCAAGUCGAACGGUAAGGCCCUUCGGGGUACACGAGUGGCGAACGGGUGAGUAACGCGUGAGUAACCUGCCCUUGACUCUGGGAUAACAGAUGGAAACGUCUGCUAAUACCGGAUACUCAGCCUUGUGGGCAUCCGCAGGGUUGGAAAGCUCCGGCGGUCAAGGAUGGACUCGCGUCCUAUCAGCUAGUUGGUGGGGUAACGGCCUACCAAGGCGACGACGGGUAGCCGGCCUGAGAGGGCGACCGGCCACAUUGGGACUGAGAUACGGCCCAGACUCCUACGGGAGGCAGCAGUGGGGAAUAUUGCACAAUGGGCGAAAGCCUGAUGCAGCAACGCCGCGUGCGGGAUGACGGCCUUCGGGUUGUAAACCGCUUUCAGCAGGGACGAAGCGCAAGUGACGGUACCUGCAGAAGAAGCACCGGCUAACUACGUG
rnacentral:rRNA from 1 species